rnacentral:rRNA from 1 species
UUCCGGUUGAUCCUGCCGGCGGCCACCGCUAUAGGAAUUCGAUUAAGACAUGCGAGUCGAGAGUCGUAAUGGACUCGGCGGACUGCUCAGUAACACGUGGAUAACAUGCCCUAGAGUGGAGGAUAAUCUCGGGAAAUUGAGAAUAAUACUCCAUAGAUCAUGAAAUCUGGAAUGAUUCAUGGUUCAAAGUUCCGGCGCUCUAGGAUUGGUCUGCGGCUUAUCAGGUUGUAGUGGGUGUAACGGACCCACUAGCCAGUGACGAGUAUGGGCCUUGAGAGAGGGAGCCCAGGGAUGGAUUCUGAGACACGAAUCCAGGCCCUACGGGGCGCAGCAGUCGCGAAAACUUCACAAUGGAGGCAACUCCGAUGAGGGAAUUCCUAGUGCUAGUACAUUAGUAUUAGCUUUUCUUUAGUAUAGAACGCUAAAGGAAUAAGGGCUGGGUAAGACGGGUGCCAGCCGCCGCGGUAAUACCCGCAGCCCAAGUGGUGGUCGAUUUUAUUGAGUCUAAAGCGUUCGUAGCCGGUUUGAUAAAUCCUUGGGUAAAUCGGGAAGCUUAACUUUCCGACUUCCGAGGAGACUGUCAAACUUGGGACCGGGAGAGGCUAGAGGUACUUCUGGGGUAGGGGUGAAAUCCUGUAAUCCUAGAAGGACCACCGGUGGCGAAGGCGCCUAGCUAGAACGGAUCCGACGGUGAGGGACGAAGCCCUGGGUCGCAAACGGGAUUAGAUACCCCGGUAGUCCAGGGUGUAAACGCUGCCGACUUGGUGUUGGAGGCCCUUCGGGGGCAUUCAGUGCCGGAGAGAAGUUGUUAAGUCGGCCACUUGGGGAGUACGUCCGCAAGGAUGAAACUUAAAGGAAUUGGCGGG